GCCUGUGUGGCUCAGUGGUAGAGCGUCUGUCUUGUAAACAGAAGGUCCCCGGUU
rnacentral:tRNA from 1 species